GGAAGAGCUUUGAAGAGUCCAAGAGCACAUCCUUCAUCUCUUUUAUGAGAAUGUCCUCUGGGAAACACUAGCUAAAACUUACCAGCAUCUGAAUCUUCUAGUUCUACCCCAUUCAUAACUCCAACAAGCCAGUAAAGAAUUUUAAAGGAAAUAAGACUGUCCUGACACAACUUGUUCCCAGGACCUCCAUUUUUACCAGUGCUCAUCCCCUUGUUAUCUCCAGAUGUGAAAGUAUGUGAAUGGUGUACAAGCUUAUCAAAUUGGACAGAAUUAAGGACACUAUGACAAGGAGAGUUCAGGACACUAAACUAGUUCUUAUGACACACCCUGUGGAUCUACAUUUCACAGAAUCACAGAAUUUUUUCAUCUUCUCUUCAGGAGAAAAGCAUGUGGACUCUCGACUUUUAAUAAGUGUUGUGUCAUCCAGAGAAAACUAGAAACAGUUGUGUCCAAAGGAAAAGACAAUAUGAAGUGACAACUUAUGCUGGCCUGCAGGAGCUUGAUCGCAUUAAUUCCCUAAUGGAGAAGCUAAUGUAUGUCAUCACUCUACCAUGUGUAAUCAUCUCAGACUGGAGAGAACAGUAUUUCUUCCAGCUGAAUACGUUUUGAUCUAUUCUCAAAAUAUUACUGCAACAUUCAUUUUUAUCUGUGAGUGGUAAAGAACUUUAAUUUGCAUAUUACCACUUCUUGUUUUCAUUUCAGAGUUUUAAAGGAAUUCAGUGAAGUGAAAGAGUAAAUGAUAUAAAUGAUAAAUAGAUAAUACUUAUUCAAAGUGUAUCAGUAUUUUGUCAUGCUUCAAGAACCUGUCAUGUAGUACAUACCUACACCUAAGCAGCUGCUCACCUCUUGCCUGAGGCUUUGGGAUUAAAGUAGCCAGUGGUCAACCUUACUCAGCAAAUUUUUUCUUUCCAACAAAGCUAGUGGGUUACUGUAAAUAACGCAAUGGAAGACCUGCACCUUCUGGUUCCAACUAAACAUGCAGCUACUUGAAGUUCAGUUUAUAUAAGAAGUGUGUACAAACAAAAUGGCUGCAUAUUUUCUACUUAAUUAGAAAUGUUGAGAUAAUUAUUUUUGUAGACGUAGAUCUUUGUGAUCGAACACAGCUAGAGGAUUUGGUACUUCAUGUUAAGGCUUUACUUUAGACAGAAUUUGUUCCAUGCAAAGUUUUUUGAAAAUUGUUACAAUACUUAUAGCCUAAAUGUAGAUCAAGGAAUCAGUGCAGGAAAAUAGUAUUGAAACAGUCUAUUUCAAUGAUAGAGCUACUUGCAAAAUGCAUUAAAAAUGCCUUUGCUUGUUCUUUGUGCUGAGACUCUUUACUGUAAGAGAGAAGUCAAAUGGUGUCACCUGAUAUAAAUAAAAUCUUGUGGUGUUAAGAAAAGUACUAGGAG
rnacentral:lncRNA from 1 species